rnacentral:lncRNA from 1 species
CUGUUAGAGCUCGCGGGUGGAAUCUAAACCGUCAUGUCUCGUGACUGAUACAGGCUUAAUAUAGAGUAGUAAGUUAUCUUUGAGCGAGCUAGUUGAUAUAUGAUGUUGAUCCCACCCUAAAAGUCCCAUGAUUUGAAAUCAUUCCGGUGGCCCUCUCUAGAGGUGGUGGAUUUGAAAUUGAAUCAGUCAAAUAAUCCAACAAUUCGUGUACUUGGAAAUCUAAGUGUAUUAAAUAAACCUGGGUACAAAUUUGAAAAAAAAAAGGGAAAAAAGGGUAAGAAACAAAAUAAUUGUAUGUCCGUUAAGCUCACUCUAAAAAAGAUAGGGAGACACGUGACAAAACAUAUUUAAAAUGGACGGCUG